rnacentral:rRNA from 1 species
CGUGUACGUACAAGCAGUGGGAGCACAGGUUUACCUGUGUGACUGCGUACCUUUUGUAUAAUGGGUCAGCGACUUAUAUUCUGUAGCAAGGUUAACCGAAUAGGGGAGCCGGAGGGAAACCGAGUCUUAAUUGGGCGUUAAGUUGCAGGGUAUAGACCCGAAACCCGGUGAUCUAGCCAUGGGCAGGUUGAAGGUUGGGUAACACUAACUGGAGGACCGAACCGACUAAUGUUGAAAAAUUAGCGGAUGACCUGUGGCUGGGGGUGAAAGGCCAAUCAAACCGGGAGAUAGCUGGUUCUCCCCGAAAGCUAUUUAGGUAGCGCCUCGUGAAUUCAUCUCCGGGGGUAGAGCACUGUUUCGGCUAGGGGGCCAUCCCGGCUUACCAACCCGAUGCAAACUGCGAAUACCGGAGAAUGUUAUCACGGGAGACACACGGCGGGUGCUAACGUCCGUCGUGAAGAGGGAAACAACCCAGACCGCCAGCUAAGGUCCCAAAGUCAUGGUUAAGUGGGAAACGAUGUGGGAAGGCCCAGACAGCCAGGAUGUUGGCUUAGAAGCAGCCAUCAUUUAAAGAAAGCGUAAUAGCUCACUGGUCGAGUCGGCCUGCGCGGAAGAUGUAACGGGGCUAAACCAUGCACCGAAGCUGCGGCAGCGACGCUUAUGCGUUGUUGGGUAGGGGAGCGUUCUGUAAGCCUGUGAAGGUGGCCUGUGAGGGUUGCUGGAGGUAUCAGAAGUGCGAAUGCUGACAUAAGUAACGAUAAAGCGGGUGAAAAGCCCGCUCGCCGGAAGACCAAGGGUUCCUGUCCAACGUUAAUCGGGGCAGGGUGAGUCGACCCCUAAGGCGAGGCCGAAAGGCGUAGUCGAUGGGAAACGGGUUAAUAUUCCCGUACUUGGUGUUACUGCGAAGGGGGGACGGAGAAGGCUAUGUUGGCCGGGCGACGGUUGUCCCGGUUUAAGCGUGUAGGUGUGUGUUCCAGGUAAAUCCGGUUCACUUUAACACUGAGGCGUGAUGACGAGGCACUACGGUGCUGAAGUAACAAAUGCCCUGCUUCCAGGAAAAGCCUCUAAGCAUCAGGUAACAUCAAAUCGUACCCCAAACCGACACAGGUGGUCAGGUAGAGAAUACCAAGGCGCUUGAGAGAACUCGGGUGAAGGAACUAGGCAAAAUGGUGCCGUAACUUCGGGAGAAGGCACGCUGACACGUAGGUGAAGUGAUUUACUCACGGAGCUGAAGUCAGUCGAAGAUACCAGCUGGCUGCAACUGUUUAUUAAAAACACAGCACUGUGCAAACACGAAAGUGGACGUAUACGGUGUGACGCCUGCCCGGUGCCGGAAGGUUAAUUGAUGGGGUCAGCGCAAGCGAAGCUCCUGAUCGAAGCCCCGGUAAACGGCGGCCGUAACUAUAACGGUCCUAAGGUAGCGAAAUUCCUUGUCGGGUAAGUUCCGACCUGCACGAAUGGCGUAAUGAUGGCCAGGCUGUCUCCACCCGAGACUCAGUGAAAUUGAACUCGCUGUGAAGAUGCAGUGUACCCGCGGCAAGACGGAAAGACCCCGUGAACCUUUACUAUAGCUUGACACUGAACAUUGAGCCUUGAUGUGUAGGAUAGGUGGGAGGCUUUGAAGNCCGGGUUGCGGACAGUGUCUGGUGGGUAGUUUGACUGGGGCGGUCUCCUCCUAAAGAGUAACGGAGGAGCACGAAGGUUGGCUAAUCCUGGUCGGACAUCAGGAGGUUAGUGCAAUGGCAUAAGCCAGCUUGACUGCGAGCGUGACGGCGCGAGCAGGUGCGAAAGCAGGUCAUAGUGAUCCGGUGGUUCUGAAUGGAAGGGCCAUCGCUCAACGGAUAAAAGGUACUCCGGGGAUAACAGGCUGAUACCGCCCAAGAGUUCAUAUCGACGGCGGUGUUUGGCACCUCGAUGUCGGCUCAUCACAUCCUGGGGCUGAAGUAGGUCCCAAGGGUAUGGCUGUUCGCCAUUUAAAGUGGUACGCGAGCUGGGUUUAGAACGUCGUGAGACAGUUCGGUCCCUAUCUGCCGUGGGCGCUGGAGAACUGAGGGGGGCUGCUCCUAGUACGAGAGGACCGGAGUGGACGCAUCACUGGUGUUCGGGUUGUCAUGCCAAUGGCACUGCCCGGUAGCUAAAUGCGGAAGAGAUAAGUGCUGAAAGCAUCUAAGCACGAAACUUGCCCCGAGAUGAGUUCUCCCUGAGACUU